GACGAACGCUGGCGGCGUGCCUAAUACAUGCAAGUCGAACGAACUCUGGUAUUGAUUGGUGCUUGCAUCAUGAUUUACAUUUGAGUGAGUGGCGAACUGGUGAGUAACACGUGGGAAACCUGCCCAGAAGCGGGGGAUAACACCUGGAAACAGAUGCUAAUACCGCAUAACAACUUGGACCGCAUGGUCCGAGUUUGAAAGAUGGCUUCGGCUAUCACUUUUGGAUGGUCCCGCGGCGUAUUAGCUAGAUGGUGGGGUAACGGCUCACCAUGGCAAUGAUACGUAGCCGACCUGAGAGGGUAAUCGGCCACAUUGGGACUGAGACACGGCCCAAACUCCUACGGGAGGCAGCAGUAGGGAAUCUUCCACAAUGGACGAAAGUCUGAUGGAGCAACGCCGCGUGAGUGAAGAAGGGUUUCGGCUCGUAAAACUCUGUUGUUAAAGAAGAACAUAUCUGAGAGUAACUGUUCAGGUAUUGACGGUAUUUAACCUGAAAGCCACGGCUAACUACGUGCCAGCAGCCGCGGUAAUACGUAGGUGGCAAGCGUUGUCCGGAUUUAUUGGGCGUAAAGCGAGCGCAGGCGGUUUUUUAAGUCUGAUGUGAAAGCCUUCGGCUCAACCGAAGAAGUGCAUCGGAAACUGGGAAACUUGAGUGCAGAAGAGGACAGUGGAACUCCAUGUGUAGCGGUGAAAUGCGUAGAUAUAUGGAAGAACACCAGUGGCGAAGGCGGCUGUCUGGUCUGUAACUGACGCUGAGGCUCGAAAGUAUGGGUAGCGAACAGGAUUAGAUACCCUGGUAGUCCAUACCGUAAACGAUGAAUGCUAAGUGUUGGAGGGUUUCCGCCCUUCAGUGCUGCAGCUAACGCAUUAAGCAUUCCGCCUGGGGAGUACGGCCGCAAGGCUGAAACUCAAAGGAAUUGACGGGGGCCCGCACAAGCGGUGGAGCAUGUGGUUUAAUUCGAAGCUACGCGAAGAACCUUACCAGGUCUUGACAUACUAUGCAAAUCUAAGAGAUUAGACGUUCCCUUCGGGGACAUGGAUACAGGUGGUGCAUGGUUGUCGUCAGCUCGUGUCGUGAGAUGUUGGGUUAAGUCCCGCAACGAGCGCAACCCUUAUUAUCAGUUGCCAGCAUUAAGUUGGGCACUCUGGUGAGACUGCCGGUGACAAACCGGAGGAAGGUGGGGAUGACGUCAAAUCAUCAUGCCCCUUAUGACCUGGGCUACACACGUGCUGCAAUGGAUGGUACAACGAGUUGCGAACUCGCGAGAGUAAGCUAAUCUCUUAAAGCCAUUCUCAGUUCGGAUUGUAGGCUGCAACUCGCCUACAUGAAGUCGGAAUCGCUAGUAAUCGCGGAUCAGCAUGCCGCGGUGAAUACGUUCCCGGGCCUUGUACUCACCGCCCGUCAAGGGCGAAUUCCAGCA
rnacentral:rRNA from 1 species